rnacentral:tmRNA from 1 species
GAACUUCAUUUCAACACGAACAUCCCCUAUAUCUGUUCCUGCCGGCUUGACCGGCUAUGGCGAUAAACGCGCACGGAAUAAGCGGACUGGACCCGGGGGCGGUACCCGGCGCCUCCACCCGAGGGCCAAGGCCAAGGGCCUUCCGGCGGGGGCGAAAUAGGAUCGACAGACGUGUAAAGGUGUAGCUUUUGCCCGGCAUGGUUCCGCCGUUAUCGGGCCGAUCGUAUAGGUGCCAACGAUAACGAAAUGGCGCUCGCUGCCUAAUUGACAGGUAAGCGCGGCACCGGAGGGGCGCCGGGCAACAGAAGCCCCUCCACU